GGCGCGGCGUUCAGGUGUCUCCGUGGGGUGGCUGCAGCCCCAGCGGGGCUCAGUCGGGAUCCCAGCCGACCAGAUUGCGCAAUAUACUGGCGGGUUCUCCGGCCCUUUCUCACAGGCUCCGGGGCUGCUGGAGCGGAGAGAGCCCCGGGGAGGAGGGAGCCGCGCGUUCACCUCGGACCUGUGGGGGUGAAGCCGGCCCUGCCUCAGUUUCCCUCCCUGUCAGUAGCUACAGGAGAGAACUUGGGCAGCGGUGCCAGUCAGAGGCUGCGCGCACGGCGCUGGGAGGGAAGGUCCUCCGCAGUAUUUUGCACCUCCCUUGGGUGCCAGAAGAUUGGAGCCAAGAUGCUAGCCACAUAACUACUGCAGUGGCUAAGGACUAUGAAGCCUGUAAAGUUCAAUAAAAUGAGUAAACGUUGA